UGCUUGUAACAUAUAAUUUCA
ensembl:piRNA 21ur-8866 ncRNA